GAAAUGCGAUAAGUAAUGUGAAUUGCAGAAUUCAGUGAAUCAUCGAAUCUUUGAACGCACCUUGCGCCCUUUGGUAUUCCGAAGGGCAUGCCUGUUUGAGUGUCAUUAAAUUCUCAACUUCAAAAGCUUUGUCUUUUUGAAGCUUGGAUGUGAAGGCUUGCUGGCGUUUUAAAUGUUCAGCUCCUUUGAAAUGCAUUAGUGGACCCAUUUGUGUUCAGCCUUAGUGUGAUAAUUAUCUACGCUAUGGUUUUUGAAUGCUUGCUCAUUAGAACUUCGAAGUGUUUCAUACAUUUUCGGUGUGGGGAGUUGCACUAAACAUUUGCUCUCUCUGUCUAUUUGAGUUUGGUUUGUCUGCUUCUAACUGUCUACUGUAUGUGGACAACUUGAACCAUUUGACCUCAAAUCAGGUAGGACUACCCGCUGAACUUAA
rnacentral:rRNA from 1 species